GGAACCACAAAAAAAACAAUUUGAAUGAGUUGUAUUUACAAAUUAGAAGUAUUCACAAAAUAAAGUCAAAGUUGACUUAAGGUUCAAUUCAAAAUAAGUAUUAUGAAAAGAGUUUGGAAAAUCAAAAUCAUAAUGCCUAGGUUUCUAGUUUUGAAAAUAAUGUCAAUGUUUGCACAAAAAUGAGUUUGGCUUGGGUUAGAGUGGAGAGAAGAAGAGAAGGGCUAGUCCUAAACAUGCAAAGAU
rnacentral:lncRNA from 1 species